AGUGAACGCUGGCGGUAGGCCUAACACAUGCAAGUCGAACGGCAGCACAGUAAGAGCUUGCUCUUACGGGUGGCGAGUGGCGGACGGGUGAGGAAUACAUCGGAAUCUACUUUUUCGUGGGGGAUAACGUAGGGAAACUUACGCUAAUACCGCAUACGACCUACGGGUGAAAGCAGGGGAUCUUCGGACCUUGCGCGAUUGAAUGAGCCGAUGUCGGAUUAGCUAGUUGGCGGGGUAAAGGCCCACCAAGGCGACGAUCCGUAGCUGGUCUGAGAGGAUGAUCAGCCACACUGGAAAUGAGACACGGUCCAGACUCCUACGGGAGGCAGGAGUGGGGAAUAUUGGACAAUGGGCGCAAGCCUGAUCCAGCCAUACUGCGUGGGUGAAGAAGGCCUUCGGGUUGUAAAGCCCUUUUGUUGGGAAAGAAAAGCAGCAGGUUAAUACCCCGCUGUUCUGACGGUACCCAAAGAAUAAGCACCGGCUAACUUCGUG
rnacentral:rRNA from 1 species